rnacentral:rRNA from 1 species
CCUACGGGUGGCAGCAGUGAGGAAUAUUGGUCAAUGGACGAGAGUCUGAACCAGCCAAGUAGCGUGAAGGAUGACUGCCCUAUGGGUUGUAAACUUCUUUUAUAUGGGAAUAAAAUGUUCCACGUGUGGGAUUUUGUAUGUACCAUAGGAAUAAGGAUCGGCUAACUCCGUGCCAGCAGCCGCGGUAAUACGGAGGAUCCGAGCGUUAUCCGGAUUUAUUGGGUUUAAAGGGAGCGUAGGUGGAUUGUUAAGUCAGUUGUGAAAGUUUGCGGCUCAACCGUAAAAUUGCAGUUGAAACUGGCAGUCUUGAGUACAGUAGAGGUGGGCGGAAUUCGUGGUGUAGCGGUGAAAUGCUUAGAUAUCACGAAGAACUCCGAUUGCGAAGGCAGUUCACUGGACUGCAACUGACACUGAGGCUCGAAAGUGUGGGUAUCAAACAGGAUUAGAUACCCGAGUAGUC